rnacentral:rRNA from 1 species
UUCUUGGAUUUGCUGAAGACUAACUACUGCGAAAGCAUUCGCCAAGGAUGUUUUCANCNUUUAGGGAACGAAAGUUAGGGGAUCGAAGACGAUCAGAUACCGUUNGUAGUCUUAACCAUAAACUAUGCCGACUAGGGAUCGGACGGGAUUCUAUUAUGACCCG